rnacentral:rRNA from 1 species
GACGAACGCUGGCGGCGUGCCUAACACAUGCAAGUCGAACGGAGAUUUUACGGAAUGCGACUUCGGUCAAAUGAAGUUUAAUCUUAGUGGCGGACGGGUGAGUAACGCGUGAGGAACCUGCCCUUAAGAGGGGGACAACAGUUGGAAACGACUGCUAAUACCGCAUAAUAUAUCUGAAUGGCAUCAUUUAGAUAUCAAAGGAGCAAUCCGCUUAAGGAUGGCCUCGCGUCUGAUUAGAUAGUUGGUGAGGUAACGGCUCACCAAGUCGACGAUCAGUAGCCGGACUGAGAGGUUGAACGGCCACAUUGGGACUGAGACACGGCCCAGACUCCUACGGGAGGCAGCAGUGGGGAAUAUUGCGCAAUGGGGGAAACCCUGACGCAGCAACGCCGCGUGAAGGAAGAAGGUCUUCGGAUUGUAAACUUUUGUCUUCAGGGAAGAUAAUGACAGUACCUGAGGAGGAAGCUCCGGCUAACUACGUG